AAAAAUUUAGGCCGGACGUGACGGCCGAUCUAAUUUGUUUUGGCCCAAGCUAAACCGAAGUUCUUUUCUAACAAUCAAUCAGCGCCUUCCAAACUACCAAUCAGCGUUCAGACAGAUUACACUGUUCACUCUUGAAGAGAUCACAGAAGAAGAAGGACAAACAAUCUUUCGAGCUCCCGCCUGACAGACUGGCGGAGUUUAUUGCUUGUUUUUGUGUGUAACGGAAAUCUUAUUUUUUGUUGCUUCGUGAUUUGUUUAUUUUGGGAGAUUCUCAGCGCUGGAUUUGAACAUUGUUGCGCGCCUUCCAAACUACCAAUCAGCGUUCAGACAGAUUACACUGUUCACUCUUGAAGAGAUCACAGAAGAAGAAGGACAAACAAUCUUUCGAGCUCCCGCCUGACAGACUGGCGGAGUUUAUUGCUUGUUUUUGUGCCCUCCCACCCAGUCCCAAGGGAUACCUGAGGUAGUUUCGACAGGCGAUUAUUGUGGAUUUAUUUUUUCAUUUUUUCUUCUUCUUUUAAUUGGAUAAUUAUUUCUUGCUGAUACCAGCAGGUUAUGCUCCCUGGUUUGAUACUCAAUGAAAGUAGCUGAAUGUUGACCCACCCUUAUGUGGGUAGUUGUCACUGUUUACCGGGAAAUUAUUUCUGAUCAAUACCAUGUCAUGCUCUCGCCUGUUAUGAACUCUGGUUUAAUACUUAAUGAAGGUAGCUGAAUGUUGACCCACUCUUAUGUGGGUAGUUGUUACCGUUUACCGGGAAUAAUUUCUGAUCAAUACCAACUCAUGCUCUCACCGUUAUGAGGCCUGGUUUAUAUAUCAUGAAGAUGAUUUUGUUGUUUGACCGUAUGGCUCACAGUUAGUAUUUGUUCACGGCUGAUCGUUGACUCACUACUGCGCGGGUAAUUUUAGGAUCUGCGACCGUAGGACUUGCAGAUUUUUAUCUUAUUUUAUUUACCUGUGCUAAAGUAUGACUCACAGGUUAUAUAUUUGGCUGUGUGACCGUAUGGCUCACAGACCAUUUUCUUAUUUUAUUCACCUGUGCGAAAGUAUGUGUGAACGUCUGAUCCACAGACCGUUCUCCUACUCUAUCUACCUGUGCGUGAGUAUGACUCACAGGUUAAAUUUGGCUGUGCGACCAUAUGGCGCACAGACCAUUUUCUUAAUUUACCUGUGCGACCUGCUAGGAGGGUUACCACAGGUUAUUUUGGCUGUGUGGCCGUGUGACCCACAGACCAUUCUCUUAAACGAAAAUCUCUUGUGCCCUGGAUAAAGCUCUAAGGAAAUACUCCCUACUGUAAGCAGCUAGAGGGGCGAAUUGAUCCCUAUAGAUACAUAAACCAAUAAAAAUCCCAGACUGCCUACAGGCUAUAUACACAGGCAGGGACAGAUUAGCAUAAGUUACUGGUUAAAAAAAAAAAAAAAA